AUGAUCGAGAUUCUAAACACUAAGAAUGCUGACAUGAUGGUAGAGGUUGGCAUUGCUCAACGGCCUAGGUUUUGGUAAGAUUAGAAAACCAAUCAUUUGAGUAAAUUCAGGAGCACAUUUAUCCUUUUUACAACUCAUCCUAUAUUUGCCAUGUAUUUAAAUACCCUGGCAUAAAGGCUUUUGAGAAUGCUUCACUAAGGGUGAACUUAUCUUGGCACGGUGGGAUAUAUUAUCACAUAAGAACAUUUAAACCAUGCCACAUGUUGCCCCCUUGCUACCAUAUAUUAGUGUUGAUACUUUGACAAAUGGGCACCAUGCAUCAAGUCAACAAGUCAAAAAAAGGCCAUCUUUGAGGUUAAAGAGGACGAUCCAAAAGCCGAAAAAAUUGAGGGAGUAAACCAUGUUUGACUAUUACAAAACUUUCCCACAUUGUUGCCUACCGUUUACUUUUGCAUUAAAAUAACAUCAUUUCAUGUUUU
rnacentral:lncRNA from 1 species